GGGGCUGAUUCUGGAUUCGACGGGAUUUGCGAAACCCAAGGUGCAUGCCGAGGGGCGGUUGGCCUCGUAAAAAGCCGCAAAAAAAUAGUCGCAAACGACGAAACCUACGCUUUAGCAGCUUAAUAACCUGCUUAGAGCCCUCUCUCCCUAGCCUCCGCUCUUAGGACGGGGAUCAAGAGAGGUCAAACCCAAAAGAGAUCGCGCGGAUGCCCUGCCUGGGGUUGAAGCGUUAAAACGAAUCAGGCUAGUCUGGUAGUGGCGUGUCCGUCCGCAGGUGCCAGGCAAAUGUAAAGACUGACUAAGCAUGUAGUACCGAGGAUGUAGGAAUUUCGGACGCGGGUUCAACUCCCGCCAGCUCCACCA
rnacentral:tmRNA from 1 species